CUCCGAGCAGCUGCGUUGGACCCUAGGUUUAAAAAGCUCCCAUUCCUGAGUGAUGAAAGAAGAAACCAAACCUUUGAAUGUAUUGCUGAAGAAGCAGCACAGCUGAAGGAACAGAGGUUACAGAAUGAACCAGAGGUCCAGGCCCAGGAAACACCUCCCUAUGCCCAGAUGUGUGAUGAGAGGGAAACGAAAAGUAUGGAAGAAACCCCUCCAGUUUCCAAGAAAACAAAAGUAUUGGAUGACUUGUUUGGGGACUCCUUCAGCACUGAGGACCAAUGUGCCAGGAAGAAAACAUCCAAAGAGCUAGCCAAUGAUGAAAUUAGGAAGUACAGAGAUAUUGCAUCUCUGAGUUUGGGUGGUAAGGUGUUACAAUGGUGGAAAGCUCACCAGGCCGAGUUUCCUCU